rnacentral:misc_RNA from 1 species
GAUGAAGAACGUAGCGAAAUGCGAUAAGUAUUGUGAAUUGCAGAAUCCAGUGAAUCAUCGAAUCUUUGAACGCACAUUGCGCCCGCCAGCAUUCUGGCGGGCAUGCCUGUUCGAGCGUCAUUUCAACCCUCGACCUCCCCUUGGGGAGGUCGGCGUUGGGGACCGGCAGCACACCGCCGGCCCUGAAAUGGAGUGGCGGCCCGUCUGCGGCGACCUCUGCGUAGUAAUACAGCUCGCACCGGAACCCCGACGCGGCCACGCCGUAAAACACCCAACUUCUGAACGUUGACCUCGAAUCAGGUAGGACUACCCGCUGAACUUAAGCAUAUCAAUAAGCGGAGGA